AUGACUUGGACACAGGACAACAAAGGGUCCCCGCUCCCAUCUCAAAUGCAAAGUGUGGCCUCUUUUCAUCCUCCCUGGUCUAGCCACUCUGCUUUUGUUCUCUCAAUUAAGAUGAAAUGUUCUGUGACUCCGACUGCCAGGAGGAAGGACACAAGCCUGCCUGGGGUGGUGGACGGACACCCCUUCCUGACGUGGAAUAGGGCAAGGGCCUGGGCGAGUGUGGCAGGGACGCCAAGCCCUGUUCUGCUUCUCCCCAAGACUUCUUAGACCUCCCGCAGAGAUGUGUGGAUCUGUCACCUCGGAAGGCGGCUGUGUGGCGUUUCUCAGCGAGGAUCCUCCAUGUGGCUCGCAGCGGUAACCCACCACCUCUGGGAAUAUGUUCCUCCCCAGUGAUCUCUGAGUCGACAGCCCAUACGGAACCCUGCACGUACUGUUUUUUUUUUUCUUGUACAUAUCUAUGAUAAAGUUGAAUUUAUAAAUUAGGCACGGUAAGGGAUGAACACCACA
rnacentral:lncRNA from 1 species